UACGAAGGGUGCAAGCGUUACUCGGAAUCACUGGGCGUAAAGCGUGCGUAGGCGGUUUCUUAAGUCUGUCGUGAAAGCCCUGGGCUCAACCUGGGAACGGCGAUGGAUACUGGGAAGCUAGAAUGUGAGAGAGGAUGGUGGAAUUCCCGGUGUAGCGGUGAAAUGUGUAGAGAUCGGGAGGAACACCGGUGGCGAAGGCGGGUCUCUGGGCAAUUCCUGACGCUGAGGCGCGAAAGCGUGGGGAGCAAACGGG
rnacentral:rRNA from 1 species